rnacentral:rRNA from 1 species
UACGUAGGUGGCAAGCGUUGUCCGGAUUUACUGGGUGUAAAGGGCGAGUAGGCGGGUCUACAAGUCAGAUGUGAAAUACCGAGGCUCAACUUCGGGGCUGCAUUUGAAACUGUAGAUCUUGAGUGAUGGAGAGGCAGGCGGAAUUCCCAGUGUAGCGGUAAAAUGCAUAGAGAUUGGGAGGAACACCAGUGGCGAAGGCGGCCUGCUGGACAUUAACUGACGCUGAGGAGCGAAAGUGUGGGGAGCAAACAGG